UACGGGGGGGAGCAAGCGUUGUUCGGAUUUACUGGGCGUAAAGGGCGCGUAGGCGGCUUUUAUAAGUCGGGGGGUGAAAGCCUGUGGCUCAACCCAGAGCCUGCAUCCAAACUGGCGGGUAGAGUUCUGGAGGGGGUAGCGGAAUUCCUGGUGUAGCGGUGAAAAUGCGUAGAUAUCAGGAGGAACACCGGUGGCGAAGGCGGCUACCUGGGACAGAAACUGACUGAGGCGCGAAAAGCUAGGGGGGAGCAAAACA
rnacentral:rRNA from 1 species